UGGCCACGGGCCAGUCCAAUAGAGGCAAUUCCCCAAUUGUGGCUCCCUCAACCCAGGUGUGUCAAGUUGACACUAAAGCUAUCCAGCACAUCAUCUAUCCCAAAUCAUAACUACAGGUAAGACACACUGGCAUUUAUCUAGCAGCUUUUUGCACCUUCUUUAUAGAGCCACAGAAACAGCAUCCAGGCAAUCCAUUCUAGAAUUUCACAAAAUCAUAUUUCUAGAAAGACUGAGUACAAGCUGGUCAAAGUUGGAGAGGGGGAACUGGAGAGCUGAGGCAUUUUGCUACUGAAAGAACAAGUACAAACGAAGCAUUCAGCAACUGAUGAGUUACUCAGCAAAAUUUCAAGGACUCAAACUGCAAUGUACAAAAGUUAAAGCUCUUUUUUGGAGGCAGGGGAAGACAACUACUGAGCUCUCUAUUUCUGUUUAUUGUUUAUGGUCAGAAGUAGUUUAUUUGGUCCUGGCCUGGAUCUCUAUGUACUUUCUGGGGAUGUAAUUGAGUUUUGUUUUUUUUUUUUUGGUAAUUUUUAGUAACUGAAAAUUUUGAUACCAAACUAGAAACCAUUUGUCUUCUGUUUUAAACUGGAGUCAAUGGGAAAAUUGGGAUUAAAUGGGACAUUCCAUCUCCUACUUAGCUUUGUUACAAUGCAUCUAUUCCACAAAUGGUGUGGCCAGGGGCCUUGGGCACCAUGAAAAAGAAUAAAGCAAGAUAAAUUUUAUGGGAUGACCAUGCCAUAGACUUCCUAUCUCACUGAUUAAAGGAUAGCAUUAGUGGAGACAAAAUGUUUGGAGGAUGGGGCACCUUAUUAGUUUUAGCAGCAUUUAACAUAGAUAAAGCGAAGAAAUACCUGUAGUUAACUUAUCCAAACAUCAGGAAUGAGGUCAGAUAGAUGACUGCUACAGACACCUCCACACAGUAUGAGAGCUUGAUUUGGAGUAAAGGUCUUCUGGGGAGGUGGAAUUCAGGAGACACCUAUCUCUCUUACACACACAGCUUAAAUUCAUUGAGUCUGAUGCUCAGUCAAGAUUGGGUGCCAUUGACUUAAUAUUUUGUGCUAUUGAUAAGACACAGGCAGGUGGUAUUAGGCUGAGAAAAACUGGUUUGGAUGGAAAUAGAGUAUAUGCAUGGAUUAUUAGAGCUACCUAAACUAUGGGGUCACAAAAAUAGCAUCAGUAGUUUCUUUUUCUUUUUAGGUUGCUGGGUAGUGCUUGAUCCCACUGAACUAUAUCCUGAGCCCUGUUUCUCUCUUUUUAAUAUUUCAGAUCCAAGAAGUCUUAAAGUUUAUUUUAGGUGAUGAGCAAUUCACGUUGAAAUGGGUCAGCUUUGAAGUGAACAAAAAGUAGCAAAACAUUAUAGGUUGUCGUUUUUUUUUUUUUUUCCAAUUCCUAGAGCAUAAGAUUAGAAAAAUCCAGGAGGUAAGGCCUUACAACUAGUACAAAAGAAAACCACACAUGAAGCUUGAAUCCUUGGAUUUCAUAGAAUGAAAUAGGUAAACCAAAGAUGGCAAACCUUGAGAAUGGCAAACAAGGACACCAACACUCUGACCCAAACAAGAAAAAUUCUAAGAACGCACUGUCUGGGGUAUAAGAGGACCACAGAGGUUCAGGAAAACUGGAGGAAGCAUUCUUUCCAAAGGCAUUAACAUAAUAUAUACCAAUGCUAGCUAUGUGCCCUACAUCUAUUUUCUUUACCUGUGAGCUGUAAAAUCAUAAGGCAAGUUGUUCCUAAUGUUAAAAAGUAUCUUCAGAAUACUAUGCCAGCAUACAAAUUCUUUCUUGUUUUUCUUCAAGUGUCCUAAGCCCACGAUGCAUGCUAGAAGAUAAUAAUAUUUUAAAUACAGCAGCAACUUUAGUCUGAAAUGUUUAAAGUUAAAGUUUAUUUGUAUUUUUUGUAGGAAUAUCAAUAAAAGACCUCAAACGUAUCUAUAUCUGUACAUGUACAAGAACCGUCAAAAAUUAUUCACAGAACAAAAAUAAAUCUUUUUUUAGAACAAACCCAGGUAAUGAAAUGCAGAUAUGGAUCUCAUAUAUGGAACAAUCUAGGUGCUAUGGAAGCACAAAAAUAUGGCUUUAAAAAGAAAAUAAAAUCUUGGGUUUUGCUUUUCUAAGGUGAAUUUCUCUUUCUUGAAAUAAAAAUAAAUUAUUUAGAGCUAUCACUGUAAAAUAGUCAUGUGUGUUAAUACACUCUUAUUAAGGCCCUGGAGAUGAAAAACAAAAAUUGGCAGAUAAAUUCCUCACAGGUGUUAUCCAUGUAAAUAUGCUGCUGUCUGCUUAAGCUGACAUUAAUGGAGCUAAGAGACGUCUAAGCACCAGUCAAAAUUUAACCAUUACUACUUAUUUUAGAUCUUCUGCAGGAUGGUGGUCAUUGAGUUAAUUAGCAUUUAACUUUUUAGCAAACUGGAAAUUGAAAUUUUUCCCUUGGAAUCUUGGAAAUGACACAUAUGUGCAAUUUAUACUUAAAAUACUUGUACCCCACUCAGAUGAUGAAGACCCUAAAACACAGUUUUUGUGGAAAUGCCACUGUAUCAACACUUAAGUCUGGUUUUUAAGUUCCUAAACAUUUUUUUCUAGGGAAUAAGGAGGGCAUUUGAUGAAAGAAAAACAAAACAAACUAACCAAACAAAAAACAACUGAGAAGGAAAUUAAAAUGUCUGCUGAAACAUGGGCCCAAAGUACCCCUUUCCUUUCUUUUUGCAUUGGCCAAGUCUGGCUGGGCUGUCAUAUGAACACUGGGAACCUUCUUCUGCAACCUGUGCUCAGAUCAACUUUCUUUCUCUGACUCUCCAUGCUACCAAGAGUAACAUCUAGGGUUCUUAAGACUAUGCCAAACCAAAUUCAAGUCACUUUAACUUAUAUAUACAUAUGACACAUUUUAGGAGGGGUCAAGGGAAGCAAAUCUUCCUGUUUCUUUGAACUUCUGAGCAACCAAGAAGACUAUAUAUUAGUCUGCCUCUGGAUUAUAUGUCUUCCUCAGGCUCUUUCUGAAAGAAAAAUAGACUCUGUCGCAUGCAAAUUUCAUCACCUUUGUCUUGUCAAAACUCAGAGCUUUCAUAGAUUGGCCGGUGACAAGAGCAUGCUCUAUGAGAACUGACUGCAACCAUGCAAACAUAAAAAGAGAGUGUACUUAAAAAUUUAACAUCUCAACAUUUCUUGCUUUUAAGAAACUAGUGAAGUUAUUUUAAAUUAAUAAUAAUAAAAAAAGAUAUCCCAGGUACAGGGUGGGAAGGCGACUUUUUAUUGCUGGUGUAAGCAGAUUUCAUUACUAGAUUUGAAAAUGGGAAAGGUAUGGAGCAGAAGUCCUUUAGAACUUCCACAAUCUGUAGCAGAAAGUGACCGAAAAUGCAGCAAAGCUGUGGAAUGGGCUCUGGAGCUCUGGGUCUACCAGUAACAAGCCUAGUCUAGGUCAAGCCUGAGGCUCAGCUGGUCUGCUGACUGAUGAGACUGAGGUAAUCCUGACAAAGGCUGCUUCCCCCAGUUCAGUCCCAUAACUGGCCUUUUCAGGGAUUAUACCUGGAAGGAACCAGAAUUAUCUGGUUGGAAGCAAAAGAAAUACUAAUGCAAACUCACUUGAUGGCAAGCAUUUUUCUCUGGGGCUUCCAAACAAAAAUUCUGAUCUCAAGCUGCUGUACCUCUGAGGACACAAUGAGAGCCAGGGAAAACUGCUGGUCCAUAAAAAAAACAAAGCAGAGUAAAAUCUGAAAAGUUUUACUUCUAAAAUCAAGCUCAGCCCCAAGGGCAUAUGUUUCAUGCUUACACCACUCAGAAACUUACUUUUUCUUUACUGUCCAACCCCAUCAUAGAGGACAGAAGCAGAUCAGUCAGAACACUGAUUCUGACCAACCUGAUGGUAAGUGAAAAGGGAAGAGGAGGAGGAGGAGGAGGAGGAGGAGGAGGAGGAGCUGCUAUAGCAAUAUAAUAACCUCAUCUGCCACACUGCCAUUAGUAGAAGACUUCCCAGACCCAAACAGCACAGAGGUGAUGGACACUGUGGAAAUAAUGCCGGCCUCAUGGAAAUGGAAUGUUUUGCUGCUUUGGUCUGGAAAGCUUAUUACUCCAGUGAUGCAAAAGGGAGUGCCUUUCGUGAAGGCUAGUAACAUUGUUCUUGUUAGUGGCCAAGUCUGGUGCUACCUAGAUAUGAACUUUACAAGCAUUUCACCCCAAUUCCAAAGUCCAUUCAACCCUGGUCUAUUCUCCCCGAUGACGUAGUGAUAUGUUGAAGGAAAUAGGUUUGCAAGACACAGCUACCUAAAUCCAUCAGUUUUCUUUCAAUCAGGCAUGCAUUUCCUCGUAGCGAAAUAAAAGUAUGUACCUAUUCUGACUGAAGAAACACCAUGUAAAAUUAUGACCUGCUGCUGCUGCUGUCUUCUUCUAUCCCUAAAACCCUUUUCAAAAUAAACUCUAUAGAUUGCAACAUUCUCUAAAGAAAUAUUCAGAAAACUACUUUGUUAUAGUUUUUGCUCUGAGAUAGGGCCUUCUGUACCUCAGUUUGGCCAGCAACUGGCAUAAGAUGACCUUAAACUCCCGAUCCUCUUGCUUCUGCCUCCAGAGUGCUGGGAUUACAGGCCUGUGUAUCACCAACCCAGUUUACCUGGUACUGGGUUGACAAUUUGCCAACUGAGCUACAUCCCUAGCUUAGAAAAAUAUUUUUGAUAGCCUAAAAAGAUGAGAAGGGUCAAAGGACAAUCUAAAAUUUAACAUCUGGCAACAACUCUGAACUUUCAUUCUCUAAUCCUCUUAUUGUUUUUUUACUUUUUUCUCUUUAUUCAACAAAACCUGAUAGUAGAGGGCCUUGAAGUUGUCCAAAUGUUUUGGACAUUUAAUCUUGCAAUGUCAUCAACAGGCCCUCUAAGAAGGACCUAGAAUGUUAACAAGAUAUAUUGCAUCCAUCAAUAUACUUAUCUGAUAAACUCUCUAUAAUCUAUAACCAGCACUUGAAAAGCUUUCAAACCUCAAUUCAAGAUGUCACCCACAUUAUAUACUUAAGGUCACUGAAACUACUCUUUUACUAGGUUUCCUGUGGUACUACUGAAGGGUUUUGAAUGACUUAAACAUUGCUAGAGCUGAGACUAAGCCACAAACAAGAAAAGAUCUACAUUUACAUCCAGUCUCACCCAGCACAGAGUAUUACUUCAGAAUCUGUAACCCUUGUUUCCUAUGAAGUGAUUUUAAUCACAGUGUGCCCUCAGUUUGGAGGGCAGAAAUAAAAAAUUAUAAAAUAACUGUUAAGGGUCAAGAAAAUACCUAUGUGCCAUAAUAGGACAUGAAGCCUACAGUCCUAAGCUCAACAAGAAGCUCCUGUUUUAGGUCUCUGACACAGAGGAAUUAUGAAUAAAAUUAUUUUCAGAAUAAAAUUAUUAUUGUGGAUUGGGGGCUCUGGUGAAGUUACUGAGGCAACACAAAGAUCAACCUUAGGGGGUAGAGAGCAAGAGUUGGGAUGCAAGCCUGGGACUUGGUGGAAAGAGGGGCUUGGUGUCUAUGCCUGGGCUUCAAACAAAAGAGGGUGCAAUACAAGUUCUCGUUUCCUUAUAAAUAUUCUGUUAUAUAGAAACACUCCAUACAUAUGGUUCCUGUAGGUCUUUCUUCUUGUCUUUAACUUAAAAAAUUCUUAAAGUUUAUAAUUUAAAGUAAACAUUAAAGUAUUUGAGAAACAUCACUUUCUCAAUGUAAAGCUGCUUAGAUCUUCCUUAAAAAUAUUCAAAACCCUUUUAACAUUAUCUUUGUAUAUCCGACAGCAUAGAAGGCAUCAAUGUUUUCUAUUUGUGCAUUAUAUGUACAUAUGUGAGGAUAUAUGGUAUAUAUGUUUAUAUAAUGUCUAUUUAACAUGUAGCAAACUUUCCUUCCUCUGGUAAUCAAGGCUGCAUUCCAGAUGACAUAUCACACUCUGGAGUGAAAAAGGAAGCAUUCUUUUUUGUCUUAUACUAAAGUCUUUGAUCAUAAACUAGGUCAUUAUUACCAAAUCUACCAAGAGUGUGGAAUAACAACAGGAAUGUGCCAUCUUCAUACUUUUGGUUCUCUCUAUAUAGCAAGAUUAAUAGUCAUUUUUAAAGAGUGAUGCUUCCGUUUUAGAUUUCCUUUCAUGGAGGGGAUUAAAAGAAAGAAGCAGCAAUUUAAAAGUUAAAAACAGUGAUAAAAUUACCUUGCCCAUAGAUUUGCUAGUACAGCGGAUAAAAUAAAUCUUCAUUCCAAGCAAAAAAUAGAAACAACAAAUGAGGAAGAAAUAUUUUAGUAGGAUUCAGAGAUUCCUGCUCUGUUGUAGUUAGCCCUUUUCUGUGUGGAAGAAAGGGUAUCUAUUUCAGAUGGCUUGGUAUACUUGAAUAACCUCCCCAGCGGAGAGUAAAUCCUGUUGGUGCUGAUUGCUCUCAGCAUGGGGAGGAAAGGGCAGUAGACAUGUGAAGAUGAAGAUGGUAUACAAAGACACAAAUAUUUAUAGUUCUGUCAACUCUAAAGAGAAAAAAGAAUACCCUUUAUUACAAUAGGAAUAAAAAUCAGAAAGUCCCAUAUCUAAAACAGAAAAUUCUCAUCUGUUGCAGAGAGAGGGAAAAAACAUACUGACAGGAGUUCAACAGAAGUCACUCCUAAAGUCCAGUUUUGAUACAAUCAACCACUUUUUAUCUGUGUUCUCUGAAAUGCUGACUCUCCAAAUCAGAUCAGCUGUCUGCCAGAACCAUCUUGGCCUAUCAGUGGCAUAAUUAUUGUUUUGUACAGAUUGUGGUAUUCGCAUGUUCCUAAAAGGGGACCAGGAUUUGGUUUUUAACUGGCAGACGAA